GCCGCGGGGCUGCAUGGCCCGGCGGCCAAAGGAAGCGAUUCCGGCGGGGGAUGGGCAUGCGGCGCAUUAGCUAGUCGGCGGGGUAACGGCCCACCGAGGCGACGAUGCGUAGGGGUUCUGAGAGGAAGGUCCCCCACACUGGUACUGAGACACGGACCAGACUCCUACGGGAGGCAGCAGUGAGGAAUAUUGGUCAAUGGGCGGGAGCCUGAACCAGCCAAGUCGCGUGAGGGAAGACGGUCCUAUGGAUUGUAAACCUCUUUUGCCGGGGAGCAACGGGGUCCUUGCGAGGGCCUAAUGAGAGUACCCGGAGAAAAAGCAUCGGCUAACUCCGUGCCAGCAGCCGCGGUAAUACGGAGGAUGCGAGCGUUAUCCGGAUUUAUUGGGUUUAAAGGGUGCGUAGGCGGGCUGUUAAGUCAGCGGUCAAAUGUCGGGGCUCAACCCCGGCCUGCCGUUGAAACUGGCGGCCUCGAGUGGGCGAGAAGUAUGCGGAAUGCGUGGUGUAGCGGUGAAAUGCAUAGAUAUCACGCAGAACUCCGAUUGCGAAGGCAGCAUACCGGCGCCCUACUGACGCUGAGGCACGAAAGCGUGGGUAUCGAACAGGAUUAGAUACCCUGGUAGUCCACGCAGUAAACGAU
rnacentral:rRNA from 1 species